rnacentral:rRNA from 1 species
GACGAACGCUGGCGGCGUGCCUAAUACAUGCAAGUCUAACGCAGUGGGGACGGGUGCGUAACACGUGGGUAACCUCCCAUCAGAGGGGAUAACACUUGGAAACAGGUGCUAAACCGAUACUGAUGGAUGGACCCGCGGUGCAUUAUCUGGUUGGUGAGGUAACGGCUCACCAAGGCCACGAUGACUAGCCGACAUGGGAGGGUGAUCGGCCACACUGGGACUGAGAAACGGCCCAGACUCCGGCGGGAGGAAGCAGGAGGGAAUCUUAGGCAAUGGAAGAAAGUCUGACCGAGCAACGCCGCGUGUGUGAAGAAGGUUUUCGGAUCGUAAAACGCUGUUGUGAGAGAAGCGGUAGCUAACCAGAAAGCCACGGCUAACUACGUGCCAGCAGCCGCGGUAAUAC